rnacentral:snRNA from 1 species
AUCGCUUCUCGGCCCCUGGGCUAAGAUCGUUUGUAGUAUCUGUUCUUAUCAGCUUAAUAUCUGAUAAGACCCUUAAUGGGUCUUUGUGAUAUUAGUUGAAUUUUUGCAUUCCGGUUCACGUUGGAGCUUGCUCCGCGUGCACCACGGGUCGUCCCGAUGUUGCACUGUUGUCGGGUACGGCCCAGCCCCC